UACGUAGGGGACAAACGUUAUCCGGAAUUACUGGGCGUAAAGGGCGUGUAGGCGGUUUGUUAAGUCUGGCGUGAAAGCUCUCGGCUAAACCGGGAGAGGUCGUUGGAUACUGGCAAACUAGAGGACGGUAGAGGCGUGUGGAAUUCCGGGUGUAGUGGUGAAAUGCGUAGAGAUCCGGAGGAACACCAGUGGCGAAGGCGACACGCUGGGCCGUACCUGACGCUAAAGCGCGACAGCAUGGGGAGCAAACGGG
rnacentral:rRNA from 1 species